rnacentral:rRNA from 1 species
GACGAACGCUGGCGGCGUGCUUAACACAUGCAAGUCGAACGAAGAGCGAUGGAAGCUUGCUUCUAUCAAUCUUAGUGGCGAACGGGUGAGUAACGCGUAAUCAACCUGCCCUUCAGAGGGGGACAACAGUUGGAAACGACUGCUAAUACCGCAUACGAUCCAAUCUCGGCAUCGGGACUGGAUGAAAGGUGGCCUCUAUUUAUAAGCUAUCACUGAAGGAGGGGAUUGCGUCUGAUUAGCUAGUUGGAGGGGUAACGGCCCACCAAGGCGAUGAUCAGUAACCGGUCUGAGAGGAUGAACGGCCACAUUGGGACUGAGACACGGCCCAGACUCCUACGGGAGGCAGCAGUGGGGAAUCUUCCGCAAUGGACGAAAGUCUGACGGAGCAACGCCGCGUGAGUGAUGACGGCCUUCGGGUUGUAAAGCUCUGUUAAUCGGGACGAAUGGUUCUUGUGCGAAUAGUGCGAGGAUUUGACGGUACCGGAAUAGAAAGCCACGGCUAACUACGUG